rnacentral:rRNA from 1 species
CCCGCUGAACUUAAGCAUAUCAAUAAGCGGAGGAAAAGAAACUAACAAGGAUUCCCCUAGUAACUGCGAGUGAAGCGGGAAGAGCUCAAAUUUAAAAUCUGGCGUGCCUCUGGUCGUCCGAGUUGUAGUCUAAAGAAGCGUUUUCCGUGUUGGACCGUGUACAAGUCCCUUGGAACAGGGCAUCAUAGAGGGUGAGAAUCCCGUCUCUGACACGGACUGCCAAGGCUUUGUGAUGCGCUCUCAAAGAGUCGAGUUGUUUGGGAAUGCAGCUCAAAAUGGGUGGUAAAUUCCAUCUAAAGCUAAAUAUAGGCGAGAGACCGAUAGCGAACAAGUACCGUGAGGGAAAGAUGAAAAGCACUUUGGAAAGAGAGUUAAACAGUACGUGAAAUUGCUGAAAGGGAAACGCUUGAAGUCAGUCGUGUCUGCCAGGACUCAGCUUUGCUCCUGCAUGGUGUAUUUUCUGGUUGGAUGGGCCAAUAUCAAUUUUGACCGUUGGAAAAGGCUUUGGGUAUGUGGCACCUUUGGGUGUGUUAUAGCCCUUGGUUGUAUACAGCGGUUGGGAUUGAGGACUGCAGCACGCCUUUAUGGCAGGGGUUCACCCACGUACGUGCUUAGGAUGUUGGCAUAAUGGCUUUAAGCGACCCGUCUUGAAACACGG